GGUCAAGUUAUUAAGGGUGCAGGGCGGAUGCCUUGGCACUAGGAGCCGAUGAAGGACGUGAUAAGCUGCGAUAAGCUUCGGGGAGUUGCACGUAAACUUUGAUCCGAAGAUUUCCGAAUGAGGAAACUCACUUAGAGUAAUGUCUAAGUAUCAUUAAGUGAAUACAUAGCUUAAUGAGGGGAACUCAGGGAACUGAAACAUCUAAGUACCUGAAGGAAGAGAAAGAAAUUCGAUUCCGUAAGUAGCGGCGAGCGAACGCGGAUUAGCCCAAACCAAUAAAGUUUUCUUUAUUGGGGUUGCGGACAUAUCAUAACGAAGAGGUAUCGUAAUUGAAGAGGUUUGGAAAGACCCACCACAGAAGGUAAUAGUCCUGUAUGUUAAACGAGAAGACUUUAGAUAUGAUCCAGAGUACCACGGGACACGUGAAACCCUGUGGGAAGCAGGAGGGACCACCCUCCAAGGCUAAAUACUACCUAGUGACCGAUAGCGUAUAGUACCGUGAGGGAAAGGUGAAAAGAACCCCGGGAGGGGAGUGAAAUAGAACCUGAAACCCUGCACUUACAAGCUGUGGAAGCACAUUUCUUGUGUGACCGCGUACUUUUUGUAGAACGGGCCAACGAGUUACGUUAAGUAG
rnacentral:rRNA from 1 species